UACGAAGGGUGCAAGCGUUGUUCGGAUUUAUUGGGCGUAAAGCGCGCGCAGGCGGGCAGCUAAGUCAGAUGUGAAAUCUCGGGGCUCAACCCCGAAACUGCGUCUGAAACUGGUUGCCUAGAGUUUCAGAGGGGAGAGCGGAAUUUCGCAUGUAGGGGUAAAAUCCGUAGAGAUGCGAAGGAACACCAGAGCCGAAGGGGGCUCUCUGGCUGACAACUGACGCUGAGGCGCGAAAGCGUGGGGAGCAAACAGG
rnacentral:rRNA from 1 species